rnacentral:rRNA from 1 species
ACGAACGCUGGCGGCGUGCUUAACACAUGCAAGUCGAGCGGUAAGGCUCCUUCGGGAGUACACGAGCGGCGAACGGGUGAGUAACACGUGAGCAAUCUGCCCUUCACUUUGGGAUAACUUCCGGAAACGGAAGCUAAUACCGAAUACGACCACUUCAGGCAUCUGAUGGUGGUGGAAAGUUCCGGCGGUGAAGGAUGAGCUCGCGGCCUAUCAGCUUGUUGGUGAGGUAAUGGCUCACCAAGGCUUCGACGGGUAGCCG